AUGCGCGUCCUCCUCACUGACACGGUGACGCACCACCUUCGCGGGGUCCUCGAGCCUCUGGACCCUCACUGGCCCAUGCGACCGCCACCAAAGAAGGUUCCGGUCAACGACAGGCCGGCUCCUUACCAACCUGCGCCCCCGGUAGGUAGCGCCUCCCUGUACCACCCCGGCGGAGCCCAGUCUCGGACAUGGCCCGUCUGGUCAAGCAGGUGUUGUCCUCCACCGACUCGACGACGAGGAUGCGGGAUAGGCAUCGUCCACGUCGAUGCGGGAAAAAUUGCUUUAACUAAAAAAAUAGCAACAAGUUCUUACUAA
rnacentral:rRNA from 1 species